rnacentral:rRNA from 1 species
AGAGUUGAUCCUGGCUAGGACGAACGCUGGCGGCAUGCCUAACACAUGCAAGUCGAACGGAAGUAGAAAUACUUUAGUGGCGAACGGGUGAGUAACACGUGAGCAACCUGCCUUAUACACAGGGAUAACAGUUGGAAACGACUGCUAAUACCGGAUAAGGCCACACUAUGGCAUCAUAGAGGGGUACAAAGCGAAUAAGCGGUAUAAGAUGGGCUCGCGUCCAAUUAGCUAGUUGGUGAGGUAACGGCCCACCAAGGCGACGAUUGGUAGCCGACUUGAGAGAGUGAUCGGCCACACUGGAACUGAGACACGGUCCAGACUCCUACGGGAGGCAGCAGGUGGGGAAUAUUGGGCAAUGGAGGAACUCUUACCCAGACAAUGCCGCGUGAGUGAUGAAGGUCUUUGGAUUGUAAAGCUCUUUGAUUGGGGACGAAUAAAUGACGGUACCCAAAGAACAAGCCCCGGCUAACUAUGUGCCAGCAGCCGC